rnacentral:rRNA from 2 species
GGGUUGUGAGGUUAAGCGACUAAGCGUACACGGUGGAUGCCCUGGCAGUCAGAGGCGAUGAAGGGCGUGCUAAUCUGCGAUAAGCGCCGGUAAGGUGAUAUGAACCGUUAUAACCGGCGAUACCCGAAUGGGGAAACCCAGUGUGACUCGUCACACUAUCAUUAACUGAAUCCAUAGGUUAAUGAGGCGAACCGGGGGAACUGAAACAUCUAAGUACCCCGAGGAAAAGAAAUCAACCGAGAUUCCCCCAGUAGCGGCGAGCGAACGGGGAGGAGCCCAGAGCCUGAAUCAGCAUGUGUGUUAGUGGAAGCGUCUGGAAAGGCGCGCGAUACAGGGUGACAGCCCCGUACACAAAAGCGCAUGUGCUGUGAGCUCGAUGAGUAGGGCGGGACACGUGGUAUCCUGUCUGAAUAUGGGGGGACCAUCCUCCAAGGCUAAAUACUCCUGACUGACCGAUAGUGAACCAGUACCGUGAGGGAAAGGCGAAAAGAACCCCGGCGAGGGGAGUGAAAAAGAACCUGAAACCGUGUACGUACAAGCAGUGGGAGCCCCACCACUAAGCCAGUGGUGAACUCCACAUACGCAUCCUUUGCUGAGGAUACGGUUAACGGAGCGCAAGCGACGUUCAACCGCAAAAGAAGCAGAGGGGGCUUAGUGGUGGGGUGACUGCGUACCUUUUGUAUAAUGGGUCAGCGACUUAUAUUCUGUAGCAAGGUUAACCGUAUAGGGGAGCCGGAGGGAAACCGAGUCUUAAUUGGGCGUUAAGUUGCAGGGUAUAGA